rfam:Oryza nivara chromosome 12, whole genome shotgun sequence.
GAUUUCAAUUGAAAAAGUCAUCAACAACGAAGUUGUAUAACUCAUCAAGAUCUAUAACUUUUAUUUUGGUCGUUUCUUCAUCCGACGAAGUGAUAGUAACAUUGUUUACAAAAUUUACAUUUGUCUCAUUUGGUUCUAUAAACUAUAAGAGAGAUAUGUAAACUUUGUGAACAAUAUUACUAUCACUUUAUCGGAUGAAGAAAUGACCAAAAUAAAAGUUGUAUGUCUUGAUGAGCUCUACAACUUUUAUGUUCAUGACUUUUUCAGCUGAAAUU